CCUACGGUAGGCAGCAGUGAGGAAUAUUGGUUAAUGGACGAGAGUCUGAACCAGCCAAGUAGCGUGAAGGAUGAAUGCCCUAUGGGUUGUAAACUUCUUUUAUAAAGGAAUAAAACGAGGCACGUGUGCCUUUUUUCAUGUACUUUAUGAAUAAGGAUCGGCUAACUCCGUGCCAGCAGCCGCGGUAAUACGGAGGAUCCGAGAGUUAGCCGGAUUUAUUGGGUUGAAAGGGAGGUUAGAUGGGUUGUUAAGUCAGUUGUUAAAGUUUGCGGCUCAACCGUAAAAUUGCAAUAGAUACUGGCAGUCGUGAUUACAGUUGAGGUAGGCGGAAUUCGUGGUGUAGCGGUGAAAUGCUGAGAUAUCACGAAGAACCCCGAUUGCGAAGGCAGCUUACUAAACUGUGACUGACAUUGAUGCUCGAAAGUGUGGGUAUCAAACAGGAUUAGAUACCCUUGUAGUC
rnacentral:rRNA from 1 species